UGUAGCUCCGAGGGUUUUCUUUUACCGUUGUCCACAGUUCUGAGUCUGUUGUGGACAAGAUGUCACAGCUUUUUUUUUUUCUCUCUCUCUGCAUGAGAGGAAUAAGCCACGCCCCCUCAUCCAGCUGAGUACACAGAUCCUCCCCUCCCCCCUGCUCUGUAUUCUAAGGACGCAGGUCUGCACAGGAGAAGAUAAGUGUUAUCUGAAGGGGAGGAUGAGAAGGGUAGGGCUGGAGCAGGUUGGGAGGAUGAAGUUCUUGGUUACAAUGCGGUCCAGCCGGGAGGUACAGCCGAGGGCCGCUCUAAGGUCAUCGUACAAACAUUGAUCGCCCUGAAUGAAGAACCGCACGUAUUCCCAAUAAGAUCGCCAGGCGCGACCCUUCCAGAGCGCAGCUAAUAACUGGUCGAUAACCGCAGAAAUUCUCAGUAAUAACAGACAGAAAUAGAAUAAAUGACACAAAGCAAAAUAAAUAAAAUUACACAAAAAGUCAGCUGGAAGAUCUUAUACCGUCCAUGAUAGACUCCAUUGACAUCAAAGUAACCAGAUCUAUCUGCAGUCAGACCGGGCUGAGAGUGACCUGGCCGGCCCAGCACCGCCCUGACACGGUGACCCGGCAGGCCCAGCACCGCGCUGACUCGGUGACCCGGCCGGCCCGGCACCGCCCUGACACAGUGACCCGGCCGGCCCGACACCGCGCUGACACGGUGACCCGGCCGGCCCCGCACCGCGCUGACACGGUGACCCGGCAGGCCCAGCACCGCGCUGACACGGUGACCCGGCAGGCCCAG